rnacentral:rRNA from 1 species
CAGUCGUACCGACGAGAAAUCAGCUUAUCGUGUGUUAACUUGUGGGCGUGCGUGAGUUUCGGCCUCGCUGUUUGCAUGUUUGUGCGCUUUGGGUGUACUUUUUCGUAUGGUUGGCCAACAUCAGUUUCGAUCACUAUAAAAUGACUGGCGGAAUGUAGCUUCGAUUUCGGUUGAAGUGUUAUAGCCUCUUGCUGUACACGGUGUCGGGGAUCGAGGACUGCAGCACGCCUUUGGUCGGGGUUCGCCCACGCCACGUGCUUAGGAUGCUGGCAAAA